rnacentral:rRNA from 1 species
UACGGAGGGUGCAAGCGUUGUUCGGAAUUAUUGGGCGUAAAGGGCGCGUAGGCGGUUGUGAUAGUCAGAUGUGAAAUCCUCCGGCUUAACUGGAGAACUGCAUCUGAAACUUCAUAGCUAGAGUACAGGAGAGGGAAACGGAAUUCCCGGUGUAGAGGUGGAAUUCGUAGAUAUCGGGAGGAACACCAGUGGCGAAGGCGGUUUCCUGGUCUGUAACUGACACUGAGGCGCGAAAGCGUGGGGAGCAAACAGGAUUAGAUACCCUGGUAGUCCCU